CGUGUAGGCGGUUAGGCAAGUCAGAUGUGAAAUCCCUUGGCUCAACCAAGGAAGUGCAUUUGAAACUGUUUAACUAGAGUACAGGAGGGGAAAGUGGAAUUCCCAGUGUAGAGGUGAAAUUCAUAGAUAUUGGGAGGAACACCGGUAGCGAAGGCGGCUUUCUGGCCUGAUACUGACGCUGAGACGCGAAAGCGUGGGGAGCAAACA
rnacentral:rRNA from 1 species